UACGGGGGGGGGCAAGCGUUGUUCGGAAUUACUGGGCGUAAAGGGCUCGUAGGCGGCCAACUAAGUCAGACGUGAAAUCCCUCGGCUUAACCGGGGAACUGCGUCUGAUACUGGAUGGCUUGAGUUUGGGAGAGGGAUGCGGAAUUCCAGGUGUAGCGGUGAAAUGUCGUAGAUAUCUGGAGGAACACCGGUGGCGAAGGCGGCAUCCUGGACCAACACUGACGCUGAGUGAGCGAAAGCCAGGGGAGCAAACGGG
rnacentral:rRNA from 1 species